GGUGGUGGCUCAGUGGUAGAGCACUUGCCUAGCAAGUGUGAGGCCCUGGGUUCGAUUCUCAGCACCA
rnacentral:tRNA from 1 species